UCUCCGCCUCUGAACGGAAGUAAACAAUGUGCAGGGCAGUUAGCGGACUUUAAAUAUAAUGUGCCGCGUCGUCCGGCUUAAAUACUGUGUAUACACUAGCUGUGUAUACAAGCAUGUGAGAUUGACAAGGCGUGGCGUGGACAAAGUGAGUGGGACUGGACUCGCUGGAUGUCCAACUCCGCCUUCCCGCAGGCUGCAGUCAGUAGUAGUUUUUUUUUUUUUUAAUUCGAACCAUCCAGAAAAGCGCUUUCACACUGCAGGCGAACCGGUCCAUGGUUCAGAAGAUCCGGACCGAGACCACCUCUCUUGGUCGGACCAAAAUCUGGUCCUUUGGUCCGGACCGUGGUUCGCGGCCCCUUUCACAUCUGCUACUUUGGUUCGGACCAAACUGAAAAGUCCGAAAGUCCGGACCAAACGAGGGAGCUGAAAAAAUAUGAAACUUCAGCAAUUAUGAAGCCAAAAUUAUAAAUCAGAAAGGCAGAAAAGAAAGUAAGAGGGCGAAAAUAAAAAAGACAGCUAGAUGGGGGAGCCCCUGCCGGUCCCAGCUGGUCUGAAUCAGCACUGAUUGAGCAGCUGCUUCAGCCUCAGCCCUUACUGGAGAGAGACGCUACAGGUCCUGAUGACGGCUUUAUCUUCUCACUGAUUUCAUGAGAAGAAGAAGAAGAAGAAGAAGAAGAAGAAGAAGAAGAAGAAGAAGAAGAAGAAGGAGGAGCUGUUAAUUAGUGGAAUAAAUAUCUGAGGUAAAGGAUGUUGAUUUAGUGUCUUAAUGUUGAGUUUACAUGGUUAUCUUACAUUGAGAGGAGAGGCUGAUAUGUGGGCUGGGCAUUUUUCCAUUUUCACAUACAAAAAAAAACAGUGUUGGAAGAAGAUUAAAAAAAAGCUUACAAAAUAUGUUGCUUAACCAGACCCACCCUAGACAGAGUCCAUGGCAGGGUAGGGGGCGUGGCUUCAAUAUCUCAAUAUCCUUUUAUGCUUUUUUUUUUUUUAAUCAAUAUGAAGUGAUUUUUUUUGUCUCUACAGCAUUAUUGUUUAAAUUUCAUAAGAACACAGUGUAUCAAUACAUUAAUCAAGAUUUACAAUGGAUAAUUAUAUUAUUAUUUAU